GCAGGGUUGGUGUCUGAAAUCUGCAGGAAGGUAGCUCUCCAGGAGCAGGGUUGGUUGACACUAUGUACAAGUGAAUCUUGAGUGUUUCAACGUCUCUUCUCUCGAGUGAGAUCAACUCCUCUGCCAAAGACCUCAGCAGGUCAUCUGUGAGAGGUCCCAUCACCAACCUCCUCUAGAAACCUCUGGUACAAAGGUGGCGCCGUUCCGUCACUUGUCCAGAUUUGUUCUGCUGGACAGUUCCACAAGCAGAGGUUACAAGGACAUGGCAUUUAUUCUCUGGAGAAGUUUUCCAUUGAUCUGUCUUUUAACUUGAAGUGCUGUUUGGACCUGUCUGCUUUAAGAUUCUCAUAAAUUGGAGUCGCAA